rnacentral:rRNA from 1 species
UACGUAGGGUGCGAGCGUUGCCCGGAUUUAUUGGGCGUAAAGGGCGCGUAGGCGGCUCUGCACGUCCCGUUGUGAAAUCGCCCCGGCUCAACUGGGCGGGGUCAGCGGAUACGGCGGAGCUUGAGCAAGCUAGGGGGCAAUGGAAUUCCCGGUGUAGUGGUGGAAUGCGUAGAUAUCGGGAGGAACACCAGUGGCGAAGGCGGUUGCCUGGGGCUUUGCUGACGCUGAUGCGCGAAAGCGUCGGGGAGCGAGU